rnacentral:rRNA from 1 species
UACGAAGGGGGCUAGCGUUGCUCGGAAUGACUGGGCGUAAAGGGCGCGUAGGCGGACGGCUUUGUCGGGCGUGAAAUUCCAGGGCUUAACCUUGGGGCUGCGUUCGAGACGGGUUGUCUAGAGUUUGGAAGAGGGUCGUGGAAUUCCCAGUGUAGAGGUGAAAUUCGUAGAUAUUCGGAAGAACACCAGUGGCGAAGGCGACACACUGGGCCAUUACUGACGCUGAGGCGCGAAAGCGUGGGGAGCAAACAGG